UGAGCCGCCGUUGGUAUCUGGCCAAGGG
rnacentral:piRNA from 1 species